rnacentral:piRNA from 1 species
UGAAAACUGUCAUGCGAGGCAAGAGAGAGU